rnacentral:rRNA from 1 species
UACGUAGGGCGCAAGCGUUGUCCGGAAUUAUUGGGCGUAAAGAGCUCGUAGGCGGUUUGUCGCGUCUGCUGUGAAAACCCGCAGCUCAACUGUGGGCUUGCAGCUGAUACGGGCAGGCUUGAGUUCGGUAGGGGAGACUGGAAUUCCUGGUGUAGCGGUGAAAUGCGCAGAUAUCAGGAGGAACACCGGUGGCGAAGGCGGCUCUCUAGUACGGUACUGACGCUGAGACGCGAAAGCGUGGGGAGCAAACAGG